rnacentral:tRNA from 2 species
AGCUCAGCUGGGAGAGCAUCUGCCUUACAAGCAGAGGGUCAUAGGUUCGAGCCCUAUAGGCCCCA